UACGUAGGGAGCAAGCGUUGCUCGGAAUCACUGGGCGUAAAGGGUGCGUAGGCGGCCUGGUAAGUCUGGCGUGAAAGCCCAGGGCUCAGCCCUGGAAGUGCGCUAGAAACUGCGAGGCUCGAGUGCCGGAGGGGAGAGUGGAAUUCCUGGUGUAGCGGUGAAAUGCGUAGAUAUCUGGAGGAACACCGGUGGCGAAGGCGGCAUCCUGGACCGGUAUUGACGCUGAGGAGCGAAAGCCAGGGGAGCAAACGGG
rnacentral:rRNA from 1 species